CUCAACACUUAUCUUUCAUUUUUGUCUUAGCUGUAUAUAACUGGCAUCAUAUAACUAGGUUUCCACAUAAGGAAACCGUAAGAAACACAUGAGCACCAAACAACACAAAACAUGUCCCCCAUUACUGAGAGACUUCAAGACAUAACAGCUAUCCUAAUAAUAGCUGCUUAGGCUUUACUUGGUUUCUCUUUCCUGAAGAGUACCAUUUCUUAUUCUAAUUAAUAUGUGCAUUGCAGAACUUAAGUUGGUCAUACAGGCUUUUUAAGUAUUAUAAGGAAUUGAUUAUUGUAUACAAUUCUAUAAUAUACACAGGCACAGGUUUAUAAUUAAAUGGCUAUAACGAGUCGCAGAUGAUUAGUUUAAUCAGCCUCAGGCCUGUACUUGUUAGGUGCCCACUGAUUACAAAGAAGUGCAUUGGUUGGUCAGUGGUCCAACAGUCCCAUUCUACAGGCAGUUAGACAGACCAUACAAAACAUGUCAGACGUGCCAACUGUGAUGUUUCUACCAGCUCCCUUUCACUUCCCUCAAACUCCCAAUGAAAUCUACAUAGUAUAUAUGCUGGAUAUUUCUAUAGAAAAUCAUUCCAAAUUGUAAAACUGAAACUGUAGUGAUAAUACACUCCAUGUGGUUUUACUAUACAAAUUACUUUGGCUGUUGCAAAGUUAUGUGUGUUCAAUUUUAAGAAUUUAAAUAAAAACUACAUCUUCAACCCCAUUGCAGGGAUCCCACCCUCUUAAAUGAAAGACCACAAAGCCUGUUACUUGGCUGCAUUUGGUUUAAUUCUCAGAGGCCUUUUUCAUAGUUUGUCAACAUUGACGUACAGUACAUAUAUCUGCUGCGUAUAAAAUAAUCCUGAGAUGAGAUGUAAACACUUCUAUUUAAGUGUUAUUUAAUUUGUAAUUCAUGCUAAAAGUAAUCCAGCUCCAACCUUAUUGGUCUCGUUUUGGUGUAUUAAGCUUGUUUGUCACUACGCUGCUGUUUCCCACUGCAAUUGUGCAAUAUGAAAACCCAUCGUCUUGGUCUCUUUGAGUCAGGAAGACAAGUCUGGACAGAGCUCCUCACUUCUUCCUGCCUCUGGCAGCAGACUGCAACCCUUCAGAUCCUCAACCAAGCCUGCUGCUUCAAAGAAAAGCCGGGCUUCUUCCGUCAAGAUCAUAAGUUGGGGGGGGGGGGGGGGGGGGCAUUUCUGUUUGGACAUAAUUACACCAUCAAAAGAAGCUUUCUUCAUCUUACAUGUGUGGAAAGCCUGCAAGCAGUUAAGUCUGCCUUUAUAUAUAUUCUAUUUGGGAAUCCAGCCAAAGAAGUUAUGUAAAACCUUGUGCACAUCCUUUUUUUUUCAACUUUUGAGGUGGAGAAUAUGGAAAUAUUUAUUUUCUUUAUGUUACUUUCUUGUAUUCUUGUUCUAAUUUUCAAAGCUUUAUAUUUAUUAAUUUUGUUUUUAUUGCCAACUUUCACGAUUUAUGAGAAUCUUCAGCUAAAAGCAGGCUGAGUUUGGGCCCUAAGAUUCACAGCCUCAUUUGAUAGAUGCAUGGUGUAUGUUUGGACUCCCAAGGCAAUAGCAUAUCAACUGAUUCCCCCAGUAGCACAACAGACAUGUGAGACAGCAUCUCACAUAACCUAGGGACCUUAAAAGGACAUUGCUUUAAAGCAGGAUCUCAUGUAAACGUCAGGAAAUACAACGUACCUCGUCCACUCCUUCCCACAAAUCGCAGGUCGUUAAACCUUGAAACUU